rnacentral:rRNA from 1 species
AGUGAACGCUGGCGGUAGGCCUAACACAUGCAAGUCGAACGGCAGCACAGUAAGAGCUUGCUCUUACGGGUGGCGAGUGGCGGACGGGUGAGGAAUACAUCGGAAUCUACUUUUUCGUGGGGGAUAACGUAGGGAAACUUACGCUAAUACCGCAUACGACCUACGGGUGAAAGCAGGGGAUCUUCGGACCUUGCGCGAUUGAAUGAGCCGAUGUCGGAUUAGCUAGUUGGCGGGGUAAAGGCCCACCAAGGCGACGAUCCGUAGCUGGUCUGAGAGGAUGAUCAGCCACACUGGAACUGAGACACGGUCCAGACUCGUACGGGAGGCAGCAGUGGGGAAUAUUGGACAAUGGGCGCAAGCCUGAUCCAGCCAUACCGCGUGGGUGAAGAAGGCCUUCGGGUUGUAAAGCCCUUUUGUUGGGAAAGAAAAGCAGCAGGUUAAUACCCCGCUGUUCUGACGGUACCCAAAGAAUAAGCACCGGCUAACUUCGU